AGCAGUUUGUCUGAGCCGCGGUGACGUCUCGCUGCAGCCAACCGGUGACAAGCUCCUGUCUCACUUCCUGAUGAAGCCCGACCCCUCCAGCUCAGGACACGAGCCUCUGGCAGGGGCUCGGUCAUCUGGCCUGGUGGACAUCCCAAGUGUCAGAACACACCAGCGGACAUGGGUGGAGGUUUUUGGAAAACAGAGGAGUAGGCGAUGAUCUCACCGAGGAGACCGCAGAGAUCAUUUGUGGGCGUGUCAGAGUACGACCUCGACACACACAGUCGUUCUUUCUGCAGGCGGGAAGUGCAACAGGCGCUUGGCCAGGUCCUUGUCUGAAGCCUGGGGGACUCCUGUCGGCCACUCCACCUUCACCUCCUCCUCCUCGGGCGUCUCCUCACACGGCUCCUCCUCCUCCUCCUCUUCUACCUCCUGUCCUUCCUCAUACGUCU